AAACUGCGAUACGUAGUGUGAAUUGCAGAAUUCAGUGAAUCAUCGAAUCUUUGAACGCAAAUUGCGCUGUUGGGUAUUCCUGACAGCAUACUUGGCUGAGUAUCAUCUGGAUAAAUCACAAAGAUUUUUUUAAUUAAUUUUCUUUGUGGAGUUGAGGUGUCACAUUGGCAACAAUGGGUCCCUUUAAAUGUAGUUAAAAGGGGGUGAAGAGGAUAUUAACCGUCCUUGUAACCACUAGUGUGUCAAUUGUUCAUUGAACAUCAAUGCGCUAUGUCGGUUCUUGGGCACUUAAAGGUUUAUAUUCUUCGAAACUUUCCUAUUUUUUUUAAACUCUUUUAAUUGAAACUUUGAUCUCAGCUCAAGUAAGACUACCCGCUGAAUUUAA
rnacentral:misc_RNA from 1 species